UUCUAAUAAGGCUUUAAUAUCUGGAGCUCAUAGGUGGGAGAUAAAAUAUACAUACUUACAAGACAUGUAUUGCAUAGUCAAACCAUGGAUCCAAAGAAACAAAUCAAUAAGUCAAAUCAAGAUGUGCAUGUCUGGCGAAUGAAUGGUGUAUGGUGAUGAUGGUGAUAACAAUGGUGAAAAUAAUGGUGAUGGAAGUCUUAUUCUUCUUUUGCUCUUUUGAGGGGAUACAUACCUUUCUUGCUUUUUGAAACUUUGUGAGGAGAAUGAGAUGCUCUAUAUUUUUUUCUUUUCUCUCAGGUGGGUAUCUUGUACCCCUAAUUCUACUGUCGGACACUUGUCCAUUUUUACCUCUUGUCUCACUUUUCUUUUCUUUCGAGGUUCCGAGCACUUGCUCCUUUUUAUUUCCUUGUUUUUUCAGAGCACUCAUCUCUUGAAAUAAUGUAGCAAGUGGUAGUAACAAGAUAACUUGAGCAUUUAUUUCACAAGGGAAAAACAAAAAUAUUUUUGGCUAUUCUCUCCCGGAUUAGGAGUAGAAUAUUUUUAGGUGAUUCUAGAGAUGGAAAUGAGUGGAUAUAUGUGGAUGGUACUUCCGGAGUAGAAGUAGCAUAUAUGAGUGAACAUGCAAGUGAAAACUUGAUUUAACCACAUGACAAGCUCCUAAGGGUCUACACAGCUUGACCACACUCAAUGCUCAUAAGCAGUAAAUAGUAAAUGUGUGGCUCAAAGUCUAGCAAGCAUGUAUAUAUGGCUGUGGUAGGAAUUUAAACUCUCAUCAUACAGGAACUCAUCAUGCAACAUUUUAAAGAUUUUCAAAGAUAAAAUUCACCAGAAUUCUAGCAUCUCUAGGAACAGAUAAACAGCAGCUCAACAUUCCCAUAUCGUAUCCGUUAACAACUUAGACUUCACAUCAAGUUUUCAUCCCACAAGUUUAGGUCUAGAGCAAGCUUUAAAUUAGAACAGUUAUGUCUAAACUUGAGAGAGAACUUAAAAUGUGCAAAUUAGGCAGAGCAACUAUUCAUCAUAUCCAUGCUAGAGUUUUAUUAUUAAGAUACAGAUUAGCAUAGCAACUUUAUUUAUUUAUUAAACACACUAAGCAAAAGAUAUAUAUAUAUAUAAGCAUAAAAUCUUUAUUUGGUUUUUCAUAGUUAUGUAUAUUUAUAUUUUAAUAUAGUAUAAGUAUAAAGAUAGAUAGAUAGAAAUACUUAUCGGGAUAAAUGGGGGUGUUCUCCCCCAAGCUGAAUUUUGACGUAAUUUCUCUUGAUGUAGCUAGCAGGCGGCAGAGGUGUAUUUGAAAGUCAGCAGCAUUCUGACAGCGAUUAGAAUGUCCUCCGUUUGCUAGUCUUCUUGAUUCUUAAAUUCUGUGGAGCUCAAAUAGACAACAAAGCUUGUGGAACUGGUUAAGUGUUAGCAUAAAUAUCUAGCCUUUAUCAUGUUGAGACUCCUUAAUAAUUAUUACUCCCUUAUUUUUAUAUUUUCGUUUUAUAAAGCAGAAAAGAAAUAUUUAUUUUAUUUUUAUGCCACCACAGUGAAUGUACUUAUGGAUUUUAUGCCACUCGUCUACUCACAUGGGGCUUACUGUUUUUCACAUUUUUAUUUUCUUUUUAGGAUAGCAUGAACAUGAUUAACUAAGUAAACUAGUUGAAAUAAUUGAAAGGGAAAGGAUAACUACCAAGUUUAACUCUUGGCAAGGCGUUCGGUGUUUUUAAGUCCUCUGAACGGGACUCUCCGUUUUCUCAAUUGUCCUGGGAUUCGUUGGGUGGCGUAGUCGGUACUUCCGGCAGCACCUCCUCUUCAUGUAUAGUUAUCUUCUCUUUCCAUACCUGACUCGGUGCUUCAGUCUCCUCUGGAUAAUUCUAUUUAAACUCUAUGUCUUCUGACCUUAUCACUUCUCCUUCAUAGUCUGCCCAUCCAUCCUUGAUGAUCUGCCUCCUCUGGUUACGGUUGCGUCGUUUUCUUACCUGCUUAGAUUCUUCAACGAUAUAGUUAGGGUCAGUAAAAUAACGGCGUACCUUCUCUGAGGGGAAGUGCAUAUGGACUUCUCCGGUUCUAAUGUAGAUAAUUGCUUUAACGGUGCUGAGGAACGGUCUUCCAAGGAUGAUGGGUGGAUCAUACUCGUCUUCUCCCAUGUCAAUAACUUGAAAGUCUGUGUAGACAAAGUGACCAUCUAUUUUGACUGGGACAUCAGUUACUAUUCCUUUAACUUCUCGAAAUGUCUGAUCUGCCAUCUAGAGCUGAAUGUAUGUUGGUUUUAAGGGCAUGGUUCCGAACAAGAGCCAAUAGGUGACUGCGGCCAUUAUGUUGACGCCCGAUCCGGUGUCACAAGUUGCCUUGUAGAAGUUGUAUCCAUUUAUGGAGCAGUAGAUGCUUGGCAUUCCUGGGUCGUCCUUCUUGGACAAAAGCGGUGACUUAAGUUGGUGAUCUUGGCCUCCAUGAACUACAGUGACCAUCUUAGCUGACUCGGUCCACACUUGCUUGUUCCUGUUCCUCCUGUUAGUCCUCUUCCUUGACUCACGUUUGGAUUGAUCUGGGAUUUGUGUAGUCUUGUUCUUGAAGAAAAAUGUCUCCUUCCUCCCUUUCAUGUGGAAACUGAUCUUGGUAGCACUGGCGUAGAUGAUAGCUCCCGUGGUGUUCAAGAAUGGCCUCCCUAAGAUGAUAGGUGCUCUCUCAUCAUUACCGGUCUCUACCACUAAUAAGUCGGCUAGAGCAUAUAAGGUACCAACUCAGACACAAAGGUUCUUCAAUAUUCCUUUUGGAAAAGUUAUCGUCUGAUCUGCAAACUGCAAACACAUGGUUGUCUCUAAUAAAGGAUAUGUAAAGAAUUUUUCAUAGAGUACCCUGGGUAUAAUGUUGACGGUAGAGCCAAAGUCGCAGAGUGCUUCUGGGACGUCCACCAUGCCGAUGGAGAUCGGGAUGAUGGGGCGUCCUGGAUCGCCUCUCUUGACCGGCAGAAGGUCAGUAGAGAAUUAAGUGACGGGGUUACUCCAAUUACCUGCAUCAAACAUGUCUACAAGAUUUGCAGAUUCUAAUCCUUCCGGUUGUGAUGGUAUACCGGGGUUAGUAGCAGGAACAGCAGCAACUAUUUGAUUUAACUGAGAUUCAAUCAUUUUAUUAAAGCUAAUUUGAUUCUUGAUGGGAGUAGAGAAAUUAUCCAUUCUAUUAUUUAUAUUUUCUAGCAUUUUAUCAUUAGAUGCCAAUUUUUUAGAUAGGUUAUCCAUUAGCUUUCCUUGAUUAGACACUAACUCUCUCAGAGGUGGAAAAUUAUUAUUAUUGUUGUAAGAAUUGUUACCUUGAUAAUUACCUGAGUAGUUAGGCCUGUGUUGAUUCCAACCUUGAUUUUGUUGAGGACGGUUGUAGUAGUAGUUGUUGUUGUUGAUGUAGUUCACAUCCUCAAGUAUCUCAGGGCAGUGAUUGCCUGAGUGUCCAGUGUCUCCACACUCCUCACAAGUCAUGUGAGAGUCGUAGAUGUGCAUAACUUCCUUCUUGUCUCCAGCUCUAUCAUCGAGCUUCUUCAUGAGCAGGUCUAGCUUUGUAGACAGCAUGUCUACCUCCUUCAGCUGAUGCAUACCUCCACCUCUCUUGCGUGUCUGGGUCCUCUCUCCAUUCCAGCCUUGAUUGGACGCCAUCUUCUCCACAAGAGCUGUGGCUUGUGGUAUAGUAGUGAUAAGAAUGCUCCUCCAGCUGCAUCAUCCAUGGUUUCUCGGGCACUGUUGCCGAGUCCAUGAUAAACGUCUGCAUCAAUAGCCAACUCUCCAUUCCAUGAUGGGGACAUUCUAGGAUGUAGUCUUGAAAGCGCUCCCAUGCUUCUGGAAUAGAUUCAUCAUUUUGUUGCUGAAAACUUGUAAUCUUCCCACGGAGAGCAUUGGUCUUGCCCAUGGGAAAGAACUUAGCCAGGAAGUUUGUUGAGCAGAGUGCCCACAUAGUAUUCUUCUCCUUUGUAGCGUAGAACCACUGCUUCGCACUUCCUCAUAGUGAGAAUGGGAAGAGGCGAAGUAGUAUAGCAUCUUUGGAAACUCCUGAUAUGGUGAAUGUGUUGCAAAUCUCCAGGAAGUGUUGUAAAUGAGCACUAGCAUCUUCGUGUGCCUUCCCACAGAACUGGUUGGAUUGCACCAUGUUGAUAAGUCCAGGCUUGAGCUCAAAGUUGCCAUCGAUCUCUGCAGCAGGUCUAGUGCGGAUGUUGUCCGUAGUGGGAGCUGAGAACUCACGGAUUGAUUUGUUCGCCAUGGCCUCGAACUCUAAAGUCAAGUUCCGGUGAUCUUCUUGAUUGGAUGAAUCUUCUUGCUGAAGUGUUGAUGAUCUCUUCUUGAGCUUGGCUCUUGUCUUCUUGAAUAAUGCUUCGGGAUUGUCAACAAAAUUUCCUGGAAGAUGUCUUCUAUUCAUACAUUCCCUGCAUAAGAUAAAAUAGAAAAAUAUCGGGGUAAAACUGUAUGAGAGAAUAGAUAAGCUCAAUCAUAUUAGUGAUGCGAAUGAUAACUCAAAAUCUUUUAUUCCAUUCCUGAUUAGUAAUCAACCUUCCCCAGCAACGGCGCCAAAAAUGCUUAUUGGGUAUUCUUAACAUCAUUACCAAAAGUAGACUAAGUUCUCUAAAUCUAGUAACGGUGCCAAAAAUGCCAAACCUAUCCCUCACACCACUUAAGCCAAGUUGUCAUCCCCAGCAUGACAUGAGAGAUGCGGUAUUGAAAUAUGCAAUUGCUCUUUUAAAUAAAUAAUGAAUGAGAUCUGCAAGCGCACAGAUUAAUACCGAUGUAGCAUUUUAACCGGGAAGUAUUCCAGGUAUCGUUAUUUAUAUUUUUACCACUGAGAAGGGAUUAACAAUCAUCAAUAUUGAUUACAGAAUAGAAUAUGAGAUUGAGUAUCUAUCAUUGCAUGUAUAAUUGAGAACAUUUAUCUAACUCUUCAUACAAGGAUAAGUGUCACAUAAAAGAUAUAUGAAAUAAUGAAUAGUGACAAAGAUAAUUAAUCUGAUCAGCCACAUAUAAAUAUGAUAAGCACCUCAAUUAGAUACUCUAGAAAGUCAUUAGCACGGUAUUAGAACGAACUACAAGAAUAUUCCCUAAGUUAUUCUCAACUAUAUAGUCUAGUACAUCAUAGUUAGUGCAAGCAUACUUAGCAAUCAUUGCGAGACAAGACUACGCCCAUGCAUAGUGAUAUUAGCAAGGUAAAUGAGAAACAUAGCAAUCACUACCCUGUAAUAAUAUUGCUCUACCAGCCCAAUACACGAGAGGGGGACUAUAUAAGAAUCAAUGAAGCUGUCACUAUCACCAACUACCCCACGAUCUGGCAUAUUGCGUACAAUCAUAGAUAAAUACGGUAUAAGCACCACGCCUACCCAAUAUCUAUCAUUUACCCAUGGAUCCGAUGGAUAAAUGCUAUACGAUCCUAAGCAUGUAUAUAAAUCCAAUCUAACUAAGCCAAGUACAUAACUAUGAUAAACUAAAAACAAUAUAAUCUUCAAUAUAAGCAAGUAGAGCAAAGUCAUAAGCAAUAUAUUGAAGUAGAACAAAGUCAUAUUCAUAAUAUUGAAGAACAAAGAUAAUUAGAAAUUAAUUAGAAGCACAAUUAGAGAAUUACCAAGAAUCCUCUUGACAGAUCCGGAAACCAAUCGAAGAUUGACUCCUUCUAGUUCUAAUCCUAUGUAGCUAUGCUAAUCUAGAUAUCUAAUUGAUGUGGUGGCUCUAAUCUUGAUCAGAGGCUUCUUCUCCCUUGAAGAACAAUGAAUUAGGGUUGAGAGGCUCUCUCCUCUAGGGGCUAGGGGGUAUGGUUUUAUAGUCCCUUCAAGUGAAUAUGGGCUGUUGGAUCAAACCGACAUAGAUUGUAUGGUUUAGAUUCAUCCUUUAGGUCGGUGAAGAUCUCUGUAACAUCCCUGAUGUUACGGUUACUAAAAACGGAUCAUGUCAUCAUGAGCAUUGCAAAUCAUAAUUGUUAAAGCACAUUAGUAUGCAUCAACUUAAAAUAAGUUUACUUUGAGUGCUUGUGCUUAGGGAAUUAAAGUGUGCUUGCAUUGUGUUGGAUGCUAAAACCCUAGGGUGAAAGAUUUCCGAAAGAUUAGGGGGCCGGAAAACCCUGAUUUUUGAAUCCUAGAUUUGCCCCUUUUUGUAUAAUUCAAAAACUAAGCAAAAUUUGAGGUUGAGUUCAAAAGCAAAGUUGUAGAUCUUGGCAAGAUGUACAACUUUGGUGUUUUGAGUUUUUGAAGUUUCAAUGCAAAAUUCAAAGUAAUUUUGAAAAUACAGAUUUCCAGAAAGUGUCCCCUUUUCCAACUUAAACCUCCAAUUCAAAAUCCAUUUGGAAUUUUGAAAAGUGGUCAACAUGAAAGUUGUAGAGCACAAAAAGUUGAGCAACUUUCAUGUUGGGAGUUUUUCAAGUUGUUAUACAAAAUCAAAAGUAAUUUUGGAAAUUCUGUUUUGCCCCAAUUCAAAAAUUUGGAAUUUCUUUGAUUUGAGUUUGAUUUUCAAAAUGUUUGGCCAAAUUCACCCUGUUACACUCAAAAUCAGCUCUGGUCACCAAAACAUGUUUUGUAGCUUAUAAAAUUUGGAACAACUUUUGUUUUGACACAAAUUUGACUCCAGUUCAAAUUUCGGCUGAAUUUCACAAAGUCCAGAAAAGAGGGGAUAAGGGUUGCUACAGUGACCCGAUAGGGAUCACCGGCUCCCUGUCCAGCGCGGCCGCCGUGCGCGCAGGCACGCAGCCUGCCUGCCUGCUAGCGUCGCCAGGCGACGUGGACGCCCCAGGCUCGUUCCCUUCUCCCCUUUGAGCACCAGCGUGGGCGCCGCCGCGCGUUUCCUCCGUCCUGAGCCAGAGAACCCCGACGAGCUCCCCUCUUCAAUUCGCCAUAACCACUCCUUCCCAAGCCAAAUUGAGCAACCCAGCGUCUUCGUCACCUUCGUGCGGACCCAGUGCACCCCCAAGCUCCCUCUCUAACCCACCCAGUCGCCAGAACUUCUCUGCUCUUCUCCAACUCCGGCCGAGACCGCCGCCGCGGAGCUCUUCCCGUGGCCACGGUGUUCCAGUGAGUAUCACACCCCGCUGGCGACUGUUUCAAGUCCCUUCCGUGCCCCGGUUGCUCAUGCUCUCGCUCCUUCUCCUUGAAUGUGAGCAGGAUCGCCGGAACAAGCUUGCCGGAGCCAGAGCUCCCGCCCGACGACACUGCUUCCGUCGCCAGCGGCUUCAGCUGCUUCUCCGAGCCUUGCAGCGUGAGCACCACCCUCCCCAACCCCUAUGGAAGCUCGCUCGGCCGUCGGCUUGCACUCUAUCGGGCCCUAGCGGCCGGCCGAGGGUCGGCCAUGGCGGCUGCCCGCCCUUCUCGUGACCGAGGUGGAAAAGUAGGGUAGAGCGUGGGUAGGGGGUGUCCACAGGGUCGCGGAGUUGAAGCGAAGCCGAUGCGCACGCGCACUCCGGCCGAAACCCUCGCCAACGGCGGCCGGAGCCGUGGCCGAACCGCCGUGCGUGGUGAGGACGCAGCUGACGGGUGGGGUCGCCCCGUCAGCGUCCCGCAGAGAGAGAGGGCCUGACGAGCGGGACCCGCUCGUCAGUGACCGCUCAGAGAGAGAGGGGCAGCGCGCGCAGCGCGGUUGUGGGCCGAGCGCGCAUGGGCCGGCCUGCAGGCCGAUUUCCCGGCCACUCGCUGCACAGUACUGUUUUUCUUUUUCUUUUUAUGCAGUUUUUGAGUUAUGUUUGAAAUUGUGUAAUAAUUCGUGUGCUAAUCCAAAAAUCGUGGAAAUUUUUGUGUAGGCUCUCUGAAGUAAGUAGAACCCAAGAAAAAUAUUAAGUUCUGUUUUCUGGUAGUUUACAUGUCUGUAAAAAAUUUGCCCUUUUAAUUAGCAAAUAAAACUUGUAUGAAUUUUAAUAAUUUAAUUGUAUGUCCAAAAAUCACCAAAAAUUGUGGGGAGCCUCUGAAUAUUAUUCCCUGGCUCCACCUAAAAUUUGGUGGCAUUUGGAUAAGGUUUGGUUAAAAUGUUAAUAAACUCUUAUUUAGUAUUUAAUUAAUCAUUCCAAAAUAAGUAAAUAGUGAUUAACUAAAUCCUCCUAAUUAGGGUUGAGUGAUUUUGGGAUUGUGUGAUGACCUGAGGUCAUUAACUCUAAUGACCUCUGGCAGUUAAUUAUUGUUUAGCCUUAAUGCUUAAUUACUGUCAUUAGUAAUUAAUUAAGAAUUAAUUAAGGUAAAUAGGAUUAAUAAUUAGUUAAUUUAAAAUCAUUAUGAAUUGAGUAAAGUCUUAGUUUACAGAUGCAACCUCUUGGGUAAAAAUAUUAAGUUAUUAAACAACUUUAUUUAGUGACAAUUCUGUAUUGCAUUAAAAAGGCAAAUCGUACUUAAUUCGGUCCAUCUUGCAUAAUUGCCAUACGCAUAUCAUAAGCAUUCAUCAUCUUGCGUAUAGCGUCCGUGACCGAAGGAGCGCCCGUUGAACCGAACCCCGAGGUCGGUGCUCCGUUCGAGGAAGUCGGAUCCGAGACUUGGGAAGUCUCCGAGGGUCCCUCUCUGCCCUGCAACCAAGGCAAGCCCCGGAUGCAUUAACCCCUCCUUGGAUGUUUUAAAUCUUUUAUCACUUAUGAAUUGAAAAUGCUGCAUUAGGUAGAUGAGAAUUGGGUUAACCUACUUGCUGCAUUUACUACCUUGAUAUCGGUAUCCUGUCCUUGACACCUGUUUUAUUUUAAAACUGCGUAGCGAUGCUUAGCCCUGCUACUAGAUAGGUUUUCAACAAGAAAGUUUGAAGGGUUGUUGUGGGAUACACUUAUGGUCAAUGAUGUUUCAACUUGAGACCGGUCGGUGGACUUGCUUUAAGAAUGGAGUCUUAAAGUAGUGUCUCCAACUGUGUCGGUUAAGGACCGGUCCGUUGAUGGCCUGCUGGGUUGAGAAUUUAUAGUACUAGCCACUUGCCUACGGUAAGCCCAGUCUUGUGAUCCCUCGACGCGAACAGCUACUCGCGCACUGGGAGUGGAAAGAUGGCGAGAGUAGUGUGUACCCACCUUACGGAUCUGAGAUGACCGGAAAACAUCUAGAUCGGCUGUAGGAUGGUGGAGUACUGUGCUCUCGGGUGCCGCGAACCUGGUCAAAUUUGGGGAGAGCUUGAUUUGGGUUGAUAUAUGCAAGAUUUGGUUCUACAUAUGUCGGGUGGUUAGGAACUCCAGCUGGAUUGCUAAGCGAUUCGAAUCGUCGUUGCUCCCCGAUUGGGAGACUCAAUUCCUUCGACCCUCAUCGUAGUUAAAUAUGCAACUAAGUGAUAAAAUGAGAAAAGGGAAAAUGUCUCAUGAGGUUCGGAUCCCAAUUCCCGGACUCAUAGCGACAUGAAGCUAUGACCAUCGAUAAAUAACACUUAAUGAUAGGACUAGGGACUCACGGAUUCGUUUGUGAGGUGCAACUAGUUAGACUAUCCUCGAAUUCCUCUGCCUCUGCGAGGAAGGAAUUCAGGGUAAAACUUGAAAAUAAGGAUGCACUACUAGUAAGCUUUUACGCAAAACACUUUGGCUCCUUGCUCAGCCACCCCUUGUCUACCCUAAGCCUGCAUCCCUAAAUACUCCUCUUUUCCCGUCGGAUAAGCCUUGUUGAGUACUCCCGUACUCAGGGUUUCAAUACCCCUGUUGCAGGUGAAGCUCAGGAGCCGACUUGUUUCGGACCCUGUUGUGUGACCGUCGUCGAGGUUGACGACGAAGAAGAGUGAGCGUGACCCAUGGGCAGGGUCUGUAAGUUUGUUUUGUCCCUGCUAAAGUUUCAGUUGCUCCGCUGGACCAGGCUUGUAAUAACACUAUACUAUUUGGAAGAACUCCUUUUGUAAAUUAAGUUAUGUAAUACUUCCGCUGUUUCACUCUGAAAUAUUAUUUUGGUCUGUGUUGUUGAGUUACUGCUUUAUCUUCGCAACGAAUGAUCCUGGUGUUAAGGUGGCCACUUGCUAUCCUGUAAGGGCGAGAAGAAACAGUUCUCGUUGUUUGACCAUUAUCAGUGGUCAGGACGAGUCAGCUUGGUACGCCACAGAUAGCAGUGGUAUGAGCGCCCAGCAAGGCUCAUCGGACUUCUAAAGUGGGAGGACUCCCGGCAUCACCGUCAGAGGUCCUUAGGACAAUGGCAGGUGUCGGUGGGCCCAAACACUUAGGAGGUUCUGCCACAGCUGGUAUCAGAGCGUUCGUUGCUAAGAUGACUGCUGAAACUUUGAAAAACUUCAAAAAUUCGUUUGGAACUAAUAUUAUGAACUUGCCUAUUUUGAGUCCAAGUGCUUAGUCCUAAUCUACCCCUGUCUAUAGGCUUUCUUAGAAUUUUUUUGAAGUGGUUUGGAGGAGCAACCUAAAGUAUUGCCCUAUGUUGUAAAAGUUUAAAGUAAUAUCGUUACGAAUUGUUAGUAGGAAUCGUAAGUUCGUGCAUGCAUCAUAAUGUAUUAACUGGUUAAGUUCCUUCCUCCUUGUUUGGGUUGGGUGAAUAGAAUCAAUCCUAUUCUUGCUAACCUUUAAGGUCUCUCUUACUCAUCUAAACUUACCCUCUACAGGAUGGCUCGUCAGAAGCAGACCCCGCGUAAGCGGACCGGUCCAAAAGGAGUUCCCCGACAUCAGCUAGCUCCACGCAGUGAUCAAGCCAGUAGUAGCCGUACACCGCCUCAGCAGGAGGUGGACAGAUUGUCCGCCGAGUUGACUGAGGUGAUGAGAGAGAGAAUGUACAAUGUUAUGGAGAUUGGCAAACUCAAAGCUCAACUGGCCAAAGAAAAACAAGCUACAGAAAAUUGUGAAGCUAUGUUGUCCCGGAUGGUGGAGGAGCGGAAUGCAGCCAUUGCCCAAGAGGAAGAAGCUAGGAGCACCCAUAGGCAUGAGCUAACUAGGAUGAACGCAAAGUUGGGCAAGGCAAAGUAUCUUAAGGAUUUGUAUGUGAAGAUGGCGGCCACGGUCACCGCACAACGGGAUGUCGCGUGGCAACGAGAGGACCAGCUCCAGCUGGAGAAACUGGAGCUGGCAUAUCACUUAGAUACAGUCAAUGAUCUGGCUAUGCAAUAUCGUGAUAUUGCAUUUGAUCUGUAUCAUCAACUCCACCCACCUCCCGGCGAAGGAGAAAUGGAUACGGAUGGCGAGUUGGCAGACGAUGGAGAACCCGAUCCCGGCCUCAGUGGUGAAGAGGAGUCCGACCCCGAUGACCACAACCCAGGGGGUAAUCAAGAUGAUGGCAACGACGACCCGGGCUACAGCUCUGGCCACACCGAUUAGCUCGGUGAAACCAAGGGCAACGUCGUUGUAGGGGUCUUAGCUUGCCGUAGUGGGGUUCGGGUUUGUAAUAUAAGUUCUCUUUUGGGUUGAAAAGUUGUACUUGUUUACUCUUGGUGUGUAUCUAACUAAUGUUUAAUAAGUGAAUGUAAGAUAUGUUCUGUGUUAUGAAUUCUACGUGGUAACAGGUAUCUACGAUUCUUGUAACAGAUGCCGAUGCGUACUCGCGGAUCCGAUGGAGCUGGGACAUCCCAGGGGGGGGAUGACAUCCCCAACCCUCCACCUGCUCCACCUUCUUUGGCUGACGCCAUUGCUGUCUUGCUAAGUGCCACAACUGACAACGCUCGCUUGCUGCGCGAGCUAGCACAGCGUCAAACACACCCUGCUUCAAACUUCAGGGCACCGCGCAACGGGGACGGAGAGACUCGGUAUGUAGAUUUUACCGAGACCAGGCCCCCAGUGUUCACUAAGGCCGAUGAGCCUUUAGAAGCGGAUGACUGGCUCCGGACUAUGGAGCAUAAGUUCAGUUUAAUUCAGUGUUCAGAAACUCAGAAACCCUUAUUUGCAGCCCAGCAGCUUCGGGGAGCUGCAGGUGCCUGGUGGGAGAACUUCUUAGCUAUUCAAGCUCCCGGACACCAAGUUACCUGGACCGAGUUUAGGGACGCGUUCCGCGCCCACUACAUCCCCGAAGGGCUCAUGGCCAUGAAGGCCGAAGAGUUUCUCGCCUUGCAGCAAGGCGACAAAAGUGUUAUGGAAUACGUGGCAAGGUUUAAUCAUCUUUCUCAGUAUGCCACGGAUCAUGUGAACACUGACAGAAAGAGGAAAGCCUGUUUCAUGCGUGGUCUAAAUACUAAACUUCAGACCAUGAUGACCACAUGCCAAAAUGCUACUUUCUAUGAGGCGGUAAAUAUUGCUAUCGCCUCAGAGGAAAAGAAUAGGAAACAUAAGGAAGCCAAGAAGAAGGCUGCUUCCUCUUCUUUCUCUGGUCGCGGUCAAAAGCGCCAGAGGAUCGUUUAUCAUCCACAGGGCCACGGACGUUUCCAAACGCCGUUACCUUAUCGUGGUCCUUUCUCCCCUCCACAGUACAGACCUGGGCAGCAGGUAUAUUCUCGACCUACUGCCAUCGCUUUUGCACCACGCCAGCCGAACGCCCCGGGUGUUCGCCCUACUGCUCCGCCCAGCCACAAUUACCCUUGCUUCAAUUGUGGUAAACCUGGGCAUUUCUCUAAAGAGUGCCCUUUUCCUCGUCAAACCAACCCUACCUUUCCCAGGCCACCUAUGGGCCAACCCCAGUCGGGUCAGUUCAGAACUGGAGUUCAAAAAGGGCAACAGGUACAGAAAGGUAGACCGGUAAAGAAGACAGGGCAAGUCUUCCAUACUGAAGUGGAGACAAUUCCAGAGGGUGAACCAGUGAUGAUGGGUACGUUUCCUGUUGCGAAGCAUCCUGCUUUAAUGCUCUUUGAUUCUGGUGCAUCCCAUACAUUUAUCAAUCGCACCUUUGUGUUAAAGCAUGGCAUACCCAUUGGGGAAACACAAGAUCAUUUUUAUAUACAGUCGCCAGGAGGACGGCUGAUGUCUAAAGAAAUGGUUCACCAAGUACCCAUCGAAUUUGGUGGGCACAAUUUUCCUACUAGCAUGAUUGUUCUUAAGGACCAAGAAAUUGAUGUUAUCUUAGGCAUGAACUGGAUGGCGCAACGAGGGGUUGUGCUAGACACUUUGCACCGAACCAUUAAAAUCCCAUUGCCCAAUGAGAAUUCUUACUUGCUAAUCCAAUUAGUUACUCCCAAACGGACAACUGGGCAAGUUCAUGCCGCUAAUGUGUCUGAAGUUAAAGAUAUCCCGGUAGUUCGAGAUUUCCCGGAUGUAUUUCCUGAAGACUUACCAGGUCUGCCUCCGGACCGGGAUGUACAAUUCAGUAUAGAAUUGAAACCGGGAACGGCCCCAAUAUCUCGAAGGGCCUACAGAAUUGCACCGAAAGAGCUGGACGAAUUAAAGACCCAAUUACAAGAAUUGUUGCAGAAGGGUUUUAUUCAGCCCAGUUCUUCUCCAUGGGGUUGCCCAGCCUUGUUUGUGAAAAAGAAAGAUCAGACAUUAAGGCUGUGCGUCGACUAUCGUCCUCUAAAUGAGGUAACGAUUAAAAACAAGUACCCAUUGCCCCGCAUUGACUUACUGUUUGACCAGCUAGCUGGGGCCAAAGUGUUCUCAAAAAUUGAUUUGAGAUCAGGGUACCAUCAAAUUAAAAUUAGGCCGGAAGAUGUACCCAAGACUGCUUUCACAACCCGUUACGGGUUGUAUGAAUACUUGGUGAUGUCUUUUGGGUUGACUAACGCACCGGCCCAUUUUAUGUACCUGAUGAACUCUGUCUUCAUGCCAGAACUAGACAAAUUUGUGGUCGUCUUCAUCGAUGACAUCUUGAUUUACUCCAAAACUAAGAAGGAACAUGCUGAACACUUGAGAAUCGUGCUGGCCCGUCUCAGGGAGCACCAGCUAUAUGCCAAGUUCAGCAAAUGUGAGUUCUGGCUGGACGAAGUUCAUUUCCUGGGUCAUGUAUUAUCAGCGGAAGGAGUCGCGGUAGACCCAGGCAAGGUAGAAGAUGUGUUGAAGUGGAAACCCCCGACUACGGUACAUGAGGUCCGUAGUUUUCUGGGCAUGGCGGGAUAUUACCGUCGUUUUAUCCCGGACUUUUCCAGAGUCGCCAAACCAAUCACAACCUUGCUCAAAAGUCAAACAAAAUUUGUUUGGUCACCCCAAUGUGAGCAAGCUUUUCAGACUCUGAAAAGGUUGUUGACAACUGCACCUGUCUUAGCCCAGCCAGAUAUUGAAAAACCCUUUGAUGUAUAUUGUGACGCAUCCGGAAUCGGGUUAGGCUGUGUGCUGAUGCAGGAGGGUCGCGUAAUUGCAUAUGCUUCCAGGCAACUCAAACCUCAUGAAGAGAAUUACCCGACCCAUGAUCUCGAACUAGCCGCCGUGGUACAUGCAUUAAAGAUCUGGCGUCAUUAUUUGUUGGGAAACACAUGUCAUCUAUAUACAGAUCACAAAAGCUUGAAAUAUAUCUUUACUCAAGCUGAGCUUAAUAUGCGCCAGCGGAGGUGGCUAGAACUAAUUAAAGAUUACGACCUUGAGGUGCAUUAUCACCCUGGCAAGGCAAAUGUAGUAGCGGAUGCCCUCAGUCGUAAGGCUCACUGUAAUUGCUUAACAGUGAAGCCUAGGGAUAUAACUUUGUGCCAAGAGCUAGAGAACUUGGGAAUAGAAAUGAUUUCCCAAGGAAGCCUUUCCAAUUUAAAGAUUGAUUUCAAUCUCGAGGCUCAAAUCAUAAAGGCACAAAAAGAAAACAAGGGCAUGAGACAUCUUAAAGAGAAGAUUUCUAAUAGAGCACUCACAGACUUUAAGGUGGAUGAGGCGGGAGUAAUCUGGUUCAAGAACCGGUUAGUGGUUCCAAAGGUACCUGAGCUACGUCAGCAAAUCCUAGAUGAAGCUCAUACCACGAGGUAUUCUAUUCAUCCGGGAAGCAAUAAGAUGUAUCAGGACCUGAAGCAAAGGUUUUGGUGGACAAAAAUGAAGAUAGAAAUAGCUCGCUAUGUGGCCCAAUGUGACACCUGUCGAAAGGUCAAAGCCAUUCAUCUCAAAUCCGCUGGGGAGUUGCAACCUUUGCCUAUCCCCGCAUGGAAAUGGGAUGACAUAAGUAUGGAUUUCAUAGUAGGAUUGCCCAAAACGGCCAAGGGCUUUGAUUCCAUUUGGGUCAUAGUAGAUCGUCUCACCAAAACAACACAUUUUCUGCCGGUGAAGCUAUUGUAUCCUGCCUCCACCUAUGCUAAGAUUUAUUUUGACCGUAUUCUAAGUCUGCAUGGAGUGCCAAAGACAAUAGUGUCGGAUAGAGGCACACAAUUUGUCUCCCAAUUCUGGAAAUGUUUACAUGAGUCCCUGGGCACUAAGCUUUUAUACAGCACAGCCUACCACCCUCAAACUGGUGGGCAAACCGAAAGGGUGAAUCAAACCCUAGAAGAUCUAUUAAGAUCUUGUGCCCUGAAUUUUCCAGAUAAGUGGGAUGACUGCUUGCCUCUAGCAGAAUUUUCCUACAAUAAUAGCUAUCAAGAGAGUAUCAAAAUGGCUCCCUUUGAGGCACUGUAUGGUCGCCGAUGUCGAACUCCGUUACACUGGUCAGAACCUGGAGAAAGAUGGUUCUUCGGAGUUGACUUAGUGAAAGAGACUGAGAACAAAGUGAAACAAAUCCAAAAUAACUUGAAAGUUGCUCAGUCCCGACAGAAAAGUUACGCUGAUAAAAGACGUCGACCAUUGAAGUUCGCCAAAGGUGAUCAUGUGUAUUUGAAAGUAUCCCCAAUGAAAGGAGUAAAUCGUUUUGGUGUUAAAGGCAAGUUAGCGCCUCGUUACAUUGGUCCAUUUCCAAUUAUUGACCGAUGUGGGCAAGUCGCUUACCGCCUUAAACUGCCCGAACGAUUAUCCGGGGUACAUAAUGUGUUCCAUGUGUCUCAACUGAAAAAGUGUCUUCGGGUACCAGAUCGAGUUCAAGAUAUUGAAGAUGUAAAGCUUGAACCAGAUCUAACUUAUUCGGAAUAUCCUAUCCAAGUACUGGAUCAAAAAGCUAGAGUUACCCGAAGGACAACCACUAAAUGGUACAAAGUACAAUGGAGCCAGCACUCUGAGGAAGAAGCCACAUGGGAAUCUGAAGAUUACUUGUUAGAGAAUUUUCCUGAAUUCUAUGCUUCUCUUCAGGACAAUAUAUGAUAACCAGAGAAUGUACUCCAGUGAAGAAACAGAGUCGCCAAAGCCAUGUACUUAAUGUACAUAUAUGCAUAUAAUGAAGUAUUUUCCCCAAUUCCUUGCCUUAUGGAAAAGUUGAAGAUGAAAGAGUUUUGACAAAUUUCCUUUUCCAUUACUUACCCUAAGGUUUUAAAUCUCGGGGACGAGAUUUCUUUAAGGGGGAAGGGCUGUAACAUCCCUGAUGUUACGGUUACUAAAAACGGAUCAUGUCAUCAUGAGCAUUGCAAAUCAUAAUUGUUAAAGCACAUUAGUAUGCAUCAACUUAAAAUAAGUUUACUUUGAGUGCUUGUGCUUAGGGAAUUAAAGUGUGCUUGCAUUGUGUUGGAUGCUAAAACCCUAGGGUGAAAGAUUUCCGAAAGAUUAGGGGGCCGGAAAACCCUGAUUUUUGAAUCCUAGAUUUGCCCCUUUUUGUAUAAUUCAAAAACUAAGCAAAAUUUGAGGUUGAGUUCAAAAGCAAAGUUGUAGAUCUUGGCAAGAUGUACAACUUUGGUGUUUUGAGUUUUUGAAGUUUCAAUGCAAAAUUCAAAGUAAUUUUGAAAAUACAGAUUUCCAGAAAGUGUCCCCUUUUCCAACUUAAACCUCCAAUUCAAAAUCCAUUUGGAAUUUUGAAAAGUGGUCAACAUGAAAGUUGUAGAGCACAAAAAGUUGAGCAACUUUCAUGUUGGGAGUUUUUCAAGUUGUUAUACAAAAUCAAAAGUAAUUUUGGAAAUUCUGUUUUGCCCCAAUUCAAAAAUUUGGAAUUUCUUUGAUUUGAGUUUGAUUUUCAAACUGUUUGGCCAAAUUCACCCUGUUACACUCAAAAUCAGCUCUGGUCACCAAAACAUGUUUUGUAGCUUAUAAAAUUUGGAACAACUUUUGUUUUGACACAAAUUUGACUCCAGUUCAAAUUUCGGCUGAAUUUCACAAAAUCCAGAAAAGAGGGGAUAAGGGUUGCUACAGUGACCCGAUAGGGAUCACCGGCUCCCUGUCCAGCGCGGCCGCCGUGCGCGCAGCGCCGCGUGCGCGCGCGCAGGCACGCAGCUGCUUGCUGCCAGGGUCGCCAGGCGACGUGGACGCCCCAGGCUCGUUCCCUUCUCCCCUUUGAGCACCAGCGUGGGCGCCGCCGCGCGUUUCCUCCGUCCUGAGCCAGAGAACCCCGACGAGCUCCCCUCUUCAAUUCGCCAUAACCACUCCUUCCCGAGCCAAAUUGAGCAACCCAGCGUCUUCGUCACCUUCGUGCGGACCCAGUGCACCCCCAAGCUCCCUCUCUAACCCACCCAGUCGCCAGAACUUCUCUGCUCUUCUCCAACUCCGGCCGAGACCGCCGCCGCGGAGCUCUUCCCGUGGCCACGGUGUUCCAGUGAGUAUCACACCCCGCUGGCGACUGUUUCAAGUCCCUUCCGUGCCCCGGUUGCUCAUGCUCUCGCUCCUUCUCCUUGAAUGUGAGCAGGAUCGCCGGAACAAGCUUGCCGGAGCCAGAGCUCCCGCCCGACGACACUGCUUCCGUCGCCAGCGGCUUCAGCUGCUUCUCCGAGCCUUGCAGCGUGAGCACCACCCUCCCCAACCCCUAUGGAAGCUCGCUCGGCCGUCGGCUUGCACUCUAUCGGGCCCUAGCGGCCGGCCGAGGGUCGGCCAUGGCGGCUGCCCGCCCUUCUCGUGACCGAGGUGGAAAAGUAGGGUAGAGCGUGGGUAGGGGGUGUCCACAGGGUCGCGGAGUUGAAGCGAAGCCGAUGCGCACGCGCACUCCGGCCGAAACCCUCGCCAACGGCGGCCGGAGCCGUGGCCGAACCGCCGUGCGCGGUGAGGACGCAGCUGACGGGUGGGGUCGCCCCGUCAGCGUCCCGCAGAGAGAGAGGGCCUGACGAGCGGGACCCGCUCGUCAGUGACCGCUCAGAGAGAGAGGGGCAGCGCGCGCAGCGCGGUUGUGGGCCGAGCGCGCAUGGGCCGGCCUGCAGGCCGAUUUCCCGGCCACUCGCUGCACAGUACUGUUUUUCUUUUUCUUUUUAUGCAGUUUUUGAGUUAUGUUUGAAAUUGUGUAAUAAUUCGUGUGCUAAUCCAAAAAUCGUGGAAAUUUUUGUGUAGGCUCUCUGAAGUAAGUAGAACCCAAGAAAAAUAUUAAGUUCUGUUUUCUGGUAGUUUACAUGUCUGUAAAAAAUUUGCCCUUUUAAUUAGCAAAUAAAACUUGUAUGAAUUUUAAUAAUUUAAUUGUAUGUCCAAAAAUCACCAAAAAUUGUGGGGAGCCUCUGAAUAUUAUUCCCUGGCUCCACCUAAAAUUUGGUGGCAUUUGGAUAAGGUUUGGUUAAAAUGUUAAUAAACUCUUAUUUAGUAUUUAAUUAAUCAUUCCAAAAUAAGUAAAUAGUGAUUAACUAAAUCCUCCUAAUUAGGGUUGAGUGAUUUUGGGAUUGUGUGAUGACCUGAGGUCAUUAACUCUAAUGACCUCUGGCAGUUAAUUAUUGUUUAGCCUUAAUGCUUAAUUACUGUCAUUAGUAAUUAAUUAAGAAUUAAUUAAGGUAAAUAGGAUUAAUAAUUAGUUAAUUUAAAAUCAUUAUGAAUUAAGUAAAGUCUUAGUUUACAGAUGCAACCUCUUGGGUAAAAAUAUUAAGUUAUUAAACAACUUUAUUUAGUGACAAUUCUGUAUUGCAUUAAAAAGGCAAAUCGUACUUAAUUCGGUCCAUCUUGCAUAAUUGCCAUACGCAUAUCAUAAGCAUUCAUCAUCUUGCGUAUAGCGUCCGUGACCGAAGGAGCGCCCGUUGAACCGAACCCCGAGGUCGGUGCUCCGUUCGAGGAAGUCGGAUCCGAGACUUGGGAAGUCUCCGAGGGUCCCUCUCUGCCCUGCAACCAAGGCAAGCCCCGGAUGCAUUAACCCCUCCUUGGAUGUUUUAAAUCUUUUAUCACUUAUGAAUUGAAAAUGCUGCAUUAGGUAGAUGAGAAUUGGGUUAACCUACUUGCUGCAUUUACUACCUUGAUAUCGGUAUCCUGUCCUUGACACCUGUUUUAUUUUAAAACUGCGUAGCGAUGCUUAGCCCUGCUACUAGAUAGGUUUUCAACAAGAAAGUUUGAAGGGUUGUUGUGGGAUACACUUAUGGUCAAAGAUGUUUCAACUUGAGACCGGUCGGUGGACUUGCUUUAAGAAUGGAGUCUUAAAGUAGUGUCUCCAACUGUGUCGGUUAAGGACCGGUCCGUUGAUGGCCUGCUGGGUUGAGAAUUUAUAGUACUAGCCACUUGCCUACGGUAAGCCCAGUCUUGUGAUCCCUCGACGCGAACAGCUACUCGCGCACUGGGAGUGGAAAGAUGGCGAGAGUAGUGUGUACCCACCUUACGGAUCUGAGAUGACCGGAAAACAUCUAGAUCGGCUGUAGGAUGGUGGAGUACUGUGCUCUCGGGUGCCGCGAACCUGGUCAAAUUUGGGGAGAGCUUGAUUUGGGGUUGAUAUAUGCAAGAUUUGGUUCUACAUAUGUCGGGUGGUUAGGAACUCCAGCUGGAUUGCUAAGCGAUUCGAAUCGUCGUUGCUCCCCGAUUGGGAGACUCAAUUCCUUCGACCCUCAUCGUAGUUAAAUAUGCAACUAAGUGAUAAAAUGAGAAAAGGGAAAAUGUCUCAUGAGGUUCGGAUCCCAAUUCCCGGACUCAUAGCGACAUGAAGCUAUGACCAUCGAUAAAUAAUACUUUAUGAUAGGACUAGGGACUCACGGAUUCGUUUGUGAGGUGCAACUAGUUAGACUAUCCUCGAAUUCCUCUGCCUCUGCGAGGAAGGAAUUCAGGGUAAAACUUGAAAAUAAGGAUGCACUACUAGUAAGCUUUUACGCAAAACACUUUGGCUCCUUGCUCAGCCACCCCUUGUCUACCCUAAGCCUGCAUCCCUAAAUACUCCUCUUUUCCCGUCGGAUAAGCCUUGUUGAGUACUCCCGUACUCAGGGUUUCAAUACCCCUGUUGCAGGUGAAGCUCAGGAGCCGACUUGUUUCGGACCCUGUUGUGUGACCGUCGUCGAGGUUGACGACGAAGAAGAGUGAGCGUGACCCAUGGGCAGGGUCUGUAAGUUUGUUUUGUCCCUGCUAAAGUUUCAGUUGCUCCGCUGGACCAGGCUUGUAAUAACACUAUACUAUUUGGAAGAACUCCUUUUGUAAAUUAAGUUAUGUAAUACUUCCGCUGUUUCACUCUGAAAUAUUAUUUUGGUCUGUGUUGUUGAGUUACUGCUUUAUCUUCGCAACGAAUGAUCCUGGUGUUAAGGUGGCCACUUGCUAUCCUGUAAGGGCGAGAAGAAACAGUUCUCGUUGUUUGACCAUUAUCAGUGGUCAGGACGAGUCAGCUUGGUACGCCACAGGUAGCAGUGGAAUGAGCACACAGUAAGGCUCAUCGGACUUCUAAAGUGGGAGGACUCCCGGCAUCACCGUCAGAGGUCCUUAGGACAAUGGCAGGUGUCGAUGGGCCCAAACACUUAGGAGGUUCUGCCACAAUCUCCCACGAAGCAGAGUCCUGAUUGGACUCAGGGAGGGGGCGGGCGCCCAGGGGAACAGGGCGGGCGCCCUGCCUCUGGCCCCGUUUCGCCUUCGCUUUGGUCUCGUGGCUUCUGGAGUCUUCUAGAUGUAAGAUAAUUGCGUGGUACGUUAAUAUCUCUAUGUAAUCCCGACGUGUGGUCCUUUCUUCCGUAUUUCCUGAUAACCCCCUGCAGAAAUAGACAAACACCAAAACUCGUGGAAUUCUGUCAGAUAAAACCCUAAGUCUAGAUGUUGAUUUCAUUUGGAUCCUUUUCUUUGUUUAUUUGAUAAUUAAAUUUGAUACUUUGACCGUCAACACCCUCCCCCAAGCUUACCACUUGCUCGUCCCUGAGCAAAGAUAGACUCAGCUAUGGAUCAUAAGUUGUUGCAAUAUCUUUAAAAAUUGAUGGUUAUCAUGCUUUUAAAUAAGAUCUCAUCUCUGAGUUAGAGUAAACUGUCAAGACUUAAAACUUACUUACUUUACCUUUACCAUGGUACUUAUAACCGUCACUUCUAUCUUGAGUGGUUAAAAGAUAGAACAGUCUAGUCAAGUGCCAUGUCUCUUAUUCUUGAUCAGCUAUAGCUCUGAAGUUUUUGCUGAUUUUCAAAUAAAACUCAGAGAUUCCUUGUAUGAUUCUCUCAUAUCUCUCUUUUGUGGUAUUUUUGGAUCCUUACCAAGGCAGUAAUGGUAUAUGCCUUCUCUCAAGAUAUGUAGUAUUUGUGGUAUAAGGCAUAGUAACAUUGUCUUCUCUCUCACCCUAUUCUAAUAAGGCUUUAAUAUCUGGAUCUCAUAGGUGGGAGAUAAAAUAUACAUACUUACAUGACAUGUAUUGCAUAGUCAAACCAUGGAUCCAAAGAAACAAAUCAACAAGUCAAAUCAAGAUGUGCAUGUCUGGCGAAUGAAUGGUGUAUGGUGAUGAUGGUGAUAACAAUGGUGAAAACAAUGGUGAUGGAAGUCUAAUUCUUCUUUUGCUCUUUGGAGGGGAUACAUACCUUUCUUGCUUUUUGAAACUUUGUGAGGAGAAUGAGAUGCUCUAUAUUUUUUUCUUUUCUCUCAGGUGGGUAUCUUGUACCCCUAAUUCUACUGUCGGACACUUGUCCAUUUUUACCUCUCGUCUCACUUUUCUUUUCUUUCGAGGUUCCGAGCACUUGCUCCUUUUUAUUUCCUUGUUUUUUUUUCAGAGCACUCAUCUCUUGAAAUAAUGUAGCAAGUGGUAGUAACAAGAUAACUUGAGCAUUUAUUUCACAAGGGAAAAACAAAAAUAUUUUUGGCUAUUCUCUCCCGGAUUAGGAGUAGAAUAUUUUUAGGUGAUUCUGGAGAUGGAAAUGAGUGGAUAUAUGUGGAUGGUACUUCCGAAGUAGAAGUAGCAUAUAUGAGUGAACGUGCAAGUCAAAUCUUGAUUUAACCACAUGACAAGCUCCUAAGGGUCUACACAGCUUGACCACAUUCAAUGCUCAUAAGUAGUAAAUAGUAAAUGUGUGGCUCAAAGUCUAGCAAGCAUGUAUAUAUGGCUGUGGUAGGAAUUUAAACUCUCAUCAUACAUGAACUCAUCAUGAAACAUUUUAAAGAUUUUCAAAGAUAAAAUUCUCUAGAAUUCUAGCAUCUCUAGGAACAGAUAAACAGCAGCUCAACCUUCCCAUAUCGUAUCCGUUAAGACUUCAGAUCAAGUUUUCAUCCCACAAGUUUAGGUCUAGAGCGAGCUUUAAAUUAGAACAGUUAUGUCUAAACUUGAGAGAGAACUUAAAAUGUGCAAAUUAGGCAGAGCAACUAUUCAUCAUAUCCAUGC
rnacentral:lncRNA from 1 species